rnacentral:lncRNA from 1 species
UAUAUAGUACGGCUAGGAUGCUUAUGGAAGCACGGAGGGCUCCGUGCUUUCACUUUGUUUUCGAUGUUCGGACUUUCGAAUCGAUGAUCGGCUCCAUUAGACUUGAUCUAGAGUAUUUGAAGCAUCUAGAAAAUAAAUUUUGUGAUUUUUUGAUAUCAUUUGUCUAGUGAUCGAAGUGGCUCAAAAUCAACGGCUGAAAAUACAAAUCUUACAAAAUAUAAUGAUAUGACAUUAAAAUUUUAGACCAAAGUUAUUGAUCUUGUUUUAUAUGGUAUAAAGAAUUUUCUAUCAAAAUUUCAUAUGAUUUGGAUAUUUCUACACCGUUAAACUUGCAACCGGCUUACCACGGCAAUUAAAAUUAUUGAUUUUGAGCCCCUUCGAUCACUAGGCAAUGAUAUCGAAAAAUCAUAAAAUUUAUUUUCUAGGUACUUCAAAUACUCUAGAUCAACUCUAACGGAGCCGAUGGUCGAUUCGGAAGUCCAAACAUUGAAAACAAAGUAGAAG